rnacentral:pre_miRNA from 1 species
CUUGUACUCCCUCCGUCCGAAAAUACUUGUCAUUGAAAUGGAUGUAUCUAGAUGUAUUUUAGUUCUAGACACAUCCAUUNUAGAUGUAUUUUAGUUCUAGACACAUCCAUUUUGAUGACAAGUAAUUCCGGACGGAGGGAGUACUUG